AGCAGUAUGGUGUAACUCUGCACACGGGGCUGUUUUGGGGUACUAUCCAUUGAAAGAUUAAUCCCGAGGUCCUUGUUCGAAUCAAGGUGCUGCUC